rnacentral:tRNA from 1 species
ACCUGGCUGGCUCAGUCGGUUAAGCAUCUGACUUCAGCUCAGGUCAUGACCUCCCGGUUUGUGAGUUUGAGCCCCACGUCGGGCU